AUCAGUCAGUCUGUGUGGAGGAGGAUGAAGACCUUUAGUGACGUGCAGGACAAAAUGGUAUGGCCUCUGAGAACCCCCAAGACCAACUGGAUGAGGCUAUUAAAAACGCAGAACGCCUUGCUGAGGAGCUCAACCGAGAGAAGGACCCACAAGCCCAACUGGACGAGGCCAUUAACGAGGCAAAAAGACUGGCUGAGGAGCUCAACCAAGAACGGGAAAAUAAGAAGAAAAAGACAAACAAGCCUCCAGGGAUUAGGUUCAGAUGGAGACAAAGGGAUGAGAGAGGACAGAUUGUUCCUCAAACCAGGAAGUGAUACCAGGAGAGGGCAGUGUGACAACAACCAGGUUUGGCAGGAGGACACUAGGACGGUCAUUUCUCUGUUGUUGUGGUAACAUGAUAGGGUGGGUUGUUGGUUAGGAAUAGAUAACAGAGCCACGGUUGGACACUUCAGAAUACAGCCAUGGUUGGAGGAGUCAGCCGGGAGUGGAUAGCUGUAUCGGCCACUGUUGGAUAGCUCAGCCGUAGCUGCAUACUAGAGUCAUGUUCGGAAAAUAGAGGCGUGGUGGAAUGUACCAGUCAGCUAUGAUUGGAUAGCUAUGGUAGCUCCGCCCCGUUCAUAGUCCCAGACCCAAAACGCUCUCAGUCUGUCAGCGACCGUGCAAGAGUGAACAUCUCCCAUGACUGUUAUUUCUAAACUUGUCAAAGCUUGAAAUCUUUCACUCAUUUCCAUCCCAGCCCGAAACCGUAUCUGCAGAACAGCACUUUUUUUAGGAGCUUUGAUAUUCUUAUAUUGUUACGGUACUUUUUGAUACUGUUUGUAAGUAUCCAUGUUAUGCACUGAAUUUGUAAUUGUAUUUGAAUGUGAAAUUAAAAUAAAAAUUAUUUUUCAAAAAAAUAUGUAAAAAAAAUCUAUGUAUGCUUAUGUGUACAACGUGGUGCUUUGUUGAAUAAAACGGAAACAAACCAACCAGAAUAUAGUCAUGUCUUUAAUUUCACAUUUCAAUAUUAUAUCACCUCGUUCAUGGAGGUAAUAGACAUUUAGGGAGGCAGAGUAUGACAGUGUGAAAACGUAACAAUGUAAAACAAAAAAAGAACAAGUUUAAUGUGUACUCAAUUUCCAGGGGCUUCCUCUACGCGAAGCAGAGCCGUCCUGAGCCUCCACUACAGGAACUCAGUGCCAGAGUGAACUUCUCCCCUGGCUACUAUUUCAAAGUUGUCAAAGCUUCAAGUCGUUUGACUCAUUUCGAUUCCAGACCGAAACUGAGAAGUGCCAGGGGCUUUCCCUACAUGAAUUUGGCGCCUCUCCAGCUCUCGAGAUUUAUUGUUGGUUAGGAAUGGAUAAUAGAGCCACGGUUGGACACUUCAGAAUACAGCCAUGGUUGGAGGAGUCAGCCGGGAGUGGAUAUCUGUAUCGGCCACUGUUGGAUGGCUCAGCCGUAGCUGCAUACUAGAGUCAUGUUCGGAAAAUAGAAGCGUGACAUACCAGUCAGCUAUGAUUGGAUAGCUACGGUAGCUCCACCCCGUUCAUAGUCACAGACACGAAACUGCUCUCAGUCUGUCAGCGACCGUGCAAGAGUGAACAUCUCCCGUGACUGUUAUUUCUAAACUUGUCAAAGCUUGAAAUCGGUUCACUCAUUUCCAUCCCAGCCCGAAACCGUAUCUAUGUAUGCUUAUGUGUACAUGGUGGUGCUUUGUUGAAUAAAACGGAAACAAACCAACCAGAAUAUAAUAAUAAAAUGUCUUUAAUUUCACAUUUCAAUACAUUUCAAUAUUAUAUCACACUGCAUAGUCAUGUUCGGAAAAAAAAUAAAAUAAUAAUAAUAAAAACUGAGAAACAACCUCGGUUGGAUAAAACGACCUCGGUUGGAUAUAACGGCCUCGUUCGGAUAUAACGCGCCGGCUGGAUAAAACGACCUCGGUUGGAUGAAACCGUGGAUGUAAGUGAAUGGAAAUACAAGUCACUAUAUAACCAGCACUAGUCACUGACACUGCGCUGUAAAACGAAACCAGAAGGGAGCUGCCAACCGUCAUCAUCAGAAGAACAAAUCAGCCAGAAACACUCCGAUUGACUGCUGCUGAGGCUUGAACACUGCCAGAGAGAACUGCGUUGAUUAUGAAGGGGAAAGGUGUAAUGACUGUUUUCCUACUUGCACUUGUUGCAAAAUCCUCCGUGUCUCUUCCGAUCACUAUAACCGUGAUUUUGAAUCACCCAGUUACACCGCCCUGCUCUGGAUCAUGCCAUGGUGGCAGAAGUAAGACGGGAAGGAAAGAUCCAUAGAAUAAAUGGAACAUUCUGCCAUCACUCCGUGGAUCCAAGACCAAGAAAACACAUCCCCUCAGGAAAAAACACUGGCAUGUCACGCUCUGCUCUGCCGUCGCUGCCAGCCACCAGCAAGACUGAUACACACUUCAUCGGCGUCUCUCUACUGCCACCGUGCGAUAGUCUCGGCUCCCAUUGUGAACUUCACCCCUUACACACCAGCAUAGCUGAGGGGNNNNNNNNNNACUUAUAACAGAAAACAGCCAUACCCAAAGGCACAAUGUCCACAACCCAGGGAAUGUAGUAUAGGAGAUGGGGCGUAUUUUAAAAUCGAUACCCACACGGUGCCCAUGGGCAGUAGUGGGUAGACUGCUCGAACGCACACAGUGGCCUGUCCGUGGAACGUCGAAGCUGUGCGUUCUGAGGCAGGACGUUCCACUAGUGUCCACCGGGACUAACUUAACAGUUGAUUUGUUAUAUUGUAUUAAUUUGGAAAAGAUGGUGAUGUGGACCUCGUUUGUCAAUAAAAAUACAUUGGUAGCACUUGACAUUUGCUUGUGUGACCAUAAUUUCCUUUUAAUGUCAUUCAACAGCAUUAUAAACCAUAACCAUAUCUAUAGUGUUAGUGUAGUGACGCUAUUGACAGUGGAGCUGUACAUUCCACUUCCCAUGUAAGUCAUUAGCAUAGUGGUUAAUAUGUAGCUAACAGCCUCUCACCCAUGCCUUUAAAAGUGUCCCCAACCCGUCACAUUGAGCAAGCAUGGAAGCCAGUAUAGGCUCUGGUGGCUUCUGUCAAGCUCUGUGUGAUUGAUGACGCUCUCUUUAGGUCCGUCCCCAUCGUGACUCAGUCUCUGCAGAAGUAUAUGGGUCAUUGGCAAUAGAGCCCAAAGCGAUAUAUUAAUGACUACACUAAUGACACUCCAAAGCAGAAUAGAGUGUAUAAAUGGCACAUCUUAAAUCAGUCUUUCGAUACACUCAGAUAUUGUAAAACAGCAAAAGGGGAAAUGACACUAGCUAUGACACAGACGUUGCCCUUUGUUAGUGGCAGCACAUGUAGAGAGCUGCAGUUGAACCCUGUUAAAGCUGAAGGUGCCCA
rnacentral:lncRNA from 13 species